AAUACUCAGAAUUGAUUAGGGAACAAAGCGAGCAUUCCGAGAACGUCAAAUUUAUAAAUAUUUCAAUUAGCAGUCUUGGAGUUUUUGCAAAAGAAUGCUUGACUUUCAUGGACAUGCUUAAUGAUCUUGGCUUCGAAAAAACCACCAAAAAUACUGCUUUAAACGAAUGACGACGAUUGCAAUCAGAACAACUUACUAUAUAUUUUGCUGCAGAAACAAAGAAUGGACAAAUCCGGAACUACUAACCUUUUAAAAAUUGUACUAUAUAUUUGUUGUUUGUUAUUAUUGUUAUAUUGUGUAUGUAUAGUUAUUAUUGAUUCAAGUAGACGGUUGUGAAUUACCUUAUAUAAGUGAGAUUUACAAUUGUAUGUAACUUUAAAAAUUCAUUAAUAAAGUUUCCAUUAUUAUUAUUAUUAUUAUUAUUAUUAUU